rnacentral:rRNA from 1 species
UAGGGAAUCUUCGGCAAUGGGGGGAACCCUGACCGAGCAACGCCGCGUGAGUGAAGAAGGUUUUCGGAUCGUAAAGCUCUGUUGUUAAGGAAGAACGAGUGUGAGAAUGGAAAGUUCAUGCUGUGACGGUACUUAACCAGAAAGGGACGGCUAACUACGUGCCAGCAGCCGCGGUAAUACGUAGGUCCCGAGCGUUGUCCGGAUUUAUUGGGCGUAAAGCGAGCGCAGGCGGUUAGAAAAGUCUGAAGUGAAAGGCAGUGGCUCAACCAUUGUAGGCUUUGGAAACUGUUUAACUUAAGUGCAGAAGGGGAGAGUGGAAUUCCAUGUGUAGCGGUGAAAUGCGUAGAUAUAUGGAGGAACACCGGUGGCGAAGGCGACUCUCUGGUCUGUAACUGACGCUGAGGCUCGAAAGCGUGGGUAGCAAACAGG